GGGAAUGUGGCUUAGUGGUAGAGUGCUUGCCUAGCAUGCAUGAAGCCCUGGGUUUAAUUUCCGAGCACCA
rnacentral:tRNA from 1 species